CGUUUCGCCCCAUUAUUUCGACACCUUUUAAGAUUUCAAUGCUUUUACAUUCUUACGCAUCCCUCUUCUCUUUCUAACCCACAAAACCUUAAACCUUCUUCAACAAACAAAGCUACUAUUUCUGUUUUUCUUGUCAUUUGCACUAAAAAAAGGUUUAUGUUCUGUGAUAAGACAAGAGAAUGAGCAUUAAGUUGAAUUUUUUGUUGUGUGUUUCAUUUUUGUUUUUGGAGUGUUGUUUGGGUAGGUUUUUGGUGGAGAAGAAUAGCUUAAGAAUCACUUCUCCAAAAUCGUUGAAAGGUUCAUAUGAAUGUGCAAUUGGAAAUUUUGGAGUGCCUCAGUAUGGUGGAACAUUGAUUGGUUCUGUGGUGUAUCCAAAUGUGAAUCAGAAAGGAUGCAGGAACUUCACUGAUUUUGAUGCUUCGUUUCAGUCUAAGCCUGGAGUUUUUCCCACCUUUCUUCUUGUUGAUCGUGGAGAUUGCUACUUCACUUUGAAGGCGUGGAAUGCGCAAAAUGGUGGAGCAGCGGCUAUUCUUGUAGCUGAUGACAAAGAAGAAACACUAAUCACGAUGGACACUCCUGAAGAAGGGAAUGUUGCAAAGGAUGAUUAUGUGGAAAAGAUUAAUAUUCCUUCUACUCUUAUCAGCAAAUCCUUGGGGGACAGAAUCAAGGAGGCUCUCUUGAAUGGUGAGGUUGUUAAUAUAAAUCUUGAUUGGAGAGAGGCUCUUCCGCAUCCGGACGACAGAGUUGAGUAUGAGUUAUGGACGAAUAGCAAUGACGAAUGUGGUCCAAAGUGUGACAAUCAAAUUAAUUUUGUGAAGAGCUUUAAAAGUGCGGCUCAGCUACUUGAGAAGAAAGGGUUCACUCAAUUUACUCCUCACUUUAUAACUUGGUAUUGCCCUAACAAUUUUCUCUUAAGCAAUCAAUGCAAGUCUCAGUGUAUAAACAACGGGCGAUACUGUGCUCCGGACCCUGAGAAUGAUUUCAAUAAAGGGUAUGAUGGGAAAGAUGUCGUUCUUCAGAAUUUACGACAAGCUUGCUUCUUUAAAGUCGCAAAUGAAAGUGGAAAGCCGUGGCAAUGGUGGGACUAUGUGACCGAUUUUUCAAUCCGUUGCCCAAUGAGAGAGAAAAAAUACACCGAAGAUUGUUCAGAUCAAGUUAUUAAAUCUCUUGGUGUUGAUCUUGAAAAGAUCAAUGACUGUGUUGGGGAUCCUGAUGCUGAUGUUGAAAAUCGUGUUCUCAAAGCCGAGCAGGAUUUACAGAUUGGCAAAGAGUCUCGGGGUGAUAUUACUAUACUGCCAACUCUUGUUAUAAACAAGAGACAAUAUAGAGGUAAGUUGUCAAGACCGGCAGUUCUCAAGGCAAUAUGUUCAGGUUUCCAAGAGACCACCGAACCAUCAAUUUGCUUAACUUCAGACAUGGAAACAAACGAGUGUUUGGAAAACAAUGGUGGCUGCUGGCAAGAUGAAUCUUCUAACAUUACUGCAUGCAGGGACACUUUUCGAGGAAGAGUGUGUGAAUGCCCUAUUGUAAAAAAUGUGAAGUUUAUUGGGGAUGGAUAUACUCACUGUGAAGCUUCAGGAGCCUUAAGCUGUGAAUUCCACAAUGGAGGUUGUUGGAAACAAUCCCACGGUGGAAGGCUUUACUCUGCUUGCCAUGAUGACUAUAGAAAAGGCUGCGAGUGUCCGUCAGGGUUCAAAGGCGAUGGAGUCUUGUCAUGUGAAGAUAUUGAUGAGUGCAAAGAAAAGCUGGCCUGUCAGUGUCCACAAUGCAAAUGCAAAAACACCUUUGGGAGUUACGAGUGCAAAUGCAAUAGCGGUUUGCUCUACUCGCGAGAGAAUGACACGUGCAUUGGUAGAUUUACUUCUUCUUCAGUGGCGAGUAUUUGGAUGAUUAUCCUUGUCGCGGUUAUUACUCUUUCGGGAGGAUAUGCCUUUUACAAGUACAGAAUCCAGAGAUACAUGGACACUGAGAUACGAGCAAUAAUGGCGCAAUACAUGCCCUUGGAUAAUCAACCUCUUAUUAUUCCUAAUCAAGAAGUUCAUCAUGAUAUCUAGGAGAUGUUAGGGGUCUUUUUCUGAGAAGAAUAUUAGUCUUCUGAGAAAGAUAGAGGUUUCAUGAUCUUGAGCUUUUCGAGCAACAUCUCUAUCAAUACUAUGUUGUAUAAGAUGCAACUACGUAUUCGGCUUCACAUGAGGAUAAUGCCACAAUGCUUUGCUUUCUUAAGUUCCAAGAGAUUGGUGCUUCCCCAAUCAUGAAUAUGUAACAUGUAGU